rnacentral:lncRNA from 1 species
GCAGUCAGUAUUUAGGUACUGUUUUUCACAUUCCUUACAUGGGAAUCACGUCAACAGGAUUCAAUUUGUGACUCAACCAUUAAUACUUUGUGACACUGGCUAAUUUAUUGCACUUCUGGGUCUCGGUUAUGCUUUUUGUGGGGGGAGGGGAGGGCAGGGUCUCGCUCUGCUCUGUCACCGGAGCUGGAGUUUAGUGGAGGGAUCUCUGCAGCCUCAACUUCCUGGGCUAUCAAGCGAUCCUUCCACCGCAGCCUCCCCAGUAGCUGGGACCACAGGUGCGCGCCAUCAUGCCUGGGUGAUUUGUAAAAUUUGUUUGUUUAUUUUAAACAGAGUCUCGCUCUGUCGCCCAGGCUGGAGUGCAGUGGUGCGAUCUGGGCUCACUGCAAGCUCCGCGUCCCAGGUUCACGCCAUUCUCCUGCUUCAGCCUCCCGAGUAGCUGGGACUACCGGCGCCCGCCACCACGCCCAGCUAAUUUUUUGUAUUUUUUAGAAAAGACGGGGUCCCUGUGUUAGCCAGGAUGGUCUCGAUUUCCUGACCUCGUGAUCCGCCCGCCUCGGCCUUCCAGAGUGCUGAGAUUACAGGCGUGAGCCACCGCGCCCAGCAAGUAAAAUUUCUUUUGUAGAGACAGUGAUCUUGCUUUGUGGCCCAGGCUGGUCUCGAACUCCUGGCCUCAAGGAAUCCUCCUGCGUGGGUCUUCUAAAGAUUCAGCUGCUUUUGGAUCAACCGAUCGCCUUAAGACCCUUUAACUCGAACAACUGUCACAUCCUCGGAUCCGCGAAGGGCUGAAACUCAAAGAGUUUUUGAAGCGUCCCUCGGCGCAGUGGCUCCGCUCCACCUCCCAUUCGCGCUACCACCGCGGUCGCAGCGCCAGGAUCGCCAGGGGGCCAGCGUCGCUCUCCCGCUGCUGCGCGCCGGAAGCCGGAAGCAGGGACUGAGCCACAGACUAGGAAAGGCAGGCUUCUCCGGGGCUCCCCAGUGCCCUAGCUUUAGCCUGGAGGCCGCCCUCUUCUAUUUGCUCUUAGACGUCACGGGGGCACCCCAGUCCCCUCGACCCUUUGGAUCCGGCUCACAUUUCCUCCGGUGAAGAGCCAAAGGCCCCGGAAGUGACGUUUGCACGGCUUGCGUAUCGUGCGUGCGCAGGCCGCGCCGGGGGCGGGGCUAGCAGGAGGGUGUGUGUGGGGCGGGAGCGGACAACGGAGACCAGACCUACUGCAGCCACGCGGGCGAGCGGCUGUGUGGAUGUCGGCGAAGCCGCGGGCGAGGAUGCCUGGGGCGUGGGGGGCAGAAUGUCAGCCGGCAAAGUGGGGACCGGAGUACCCGGGAAGCUGGGAUGAAGGAGCCUCCUCUGCAGCCUCGGUGGAAGAUGGGGCCAAGGGAAAGUCCAGAGCCUGGGCCAUCUCCAGCCUCACUCACCCUCCUCCCUCACCUGGUCCCUGGGCUGAGGAUCAUGGCCCGGCCUGAGAACCCCCAAGGCAGCAUGCAGAGGCCGGGUCUGCACCGAGCCCUGACACUGACAGGCUGUGUGACGACGACUGACAACUAACCCUCUCUGGUUUUACUUUCUAUCACCUCUUAGGCAGAGCAGUGGGCGCAGAUGCCAUGGCGGGAAGCAGGCCUUUCUGAAUUCUUAGCAGCGAUCUCCAGGGGCACUCUAACCUUGCAAGAAAGAGGCUGCCAGUCUUGCAUCAGAUGCAGAAACCAGGGCGCAGAGUAGGAGCUAGAGCAUCUUGGAUGGAGAAACCUCGGCAAAGACAAAGGCCCAUUGUCCCCCUUCCCCGGCCUUCUGCCAGCUCCCUCCCCAGUCACCAGAGGAGGCCAGCCCUGCCCACCCCACAGCCCCCAGAGGCUGCCAGGCGCCAAUAUGGGCCUGCCCCUCCUGUGACUUCCCCGUCUCGGGAAAUGGCACCAUCAUCAUCUACCUGGUGGCUCCGGCCAGAAAACAGGGAGGCAUCUUUGGAUCAUCUCACCCUCACCACCCACACCCGGGCCACCACCAAGACUCUUCAAUUCUACCUCCAAAAUAAAUCCCUACCCCACUUCCCUCUGUUCUCGUUGCCACCCCUGUGUCAAGCCAUCACCAGCUUGGCCCUGGAGGCCAGCACAGCCUCCUUCCCGCCUCCCUGCCUCCUCUCUACCCCCAACAGCCAGAAUAACUUGCAGAAAAUGUAAAUCAGGCCCCAUCUCAUUCUCCUUCUUAAACCGCCCCUUUCCCCAAGGGCUUCCUAUUGCAUUUGCACCAAAAUCGACACCCCCCAAAUAGCUCUGAGGUUCACCAUGACCUGGUGCUGCCUCACCUCCUCCAAUUUCACUGUCCCCUAGUUCUUUUCCCCUGGAAUCUGUGUGUUUGCAUAAGCUGUUCCCUUUGCCUGGAUGCUCUUCCCUGCAAUUCUUUCCCCACUGGUCCCUUCUCAUACUUUAGGUCUCAGCUGGGAGCUUACUUAAACUUUUUUGUUUGAGAUGGAGUCUCAUGCUGUCACC